rnacentral:rRNA from 1 species
CGGGUGAGUAACACGUGGGCAACCUGCCUCUCGCUCCGGGAUAACUUCGGGAAACCGAUGCUAAUACCGGAUAUGACCAGAUGCGACAUCGCAUUCGGUGGAAAGAAUUUCGGCGAGAGAUGGGCCCGCGGCCUAUCAGCUAGUUGGUGAGGUAAAAGCUCACCAAGGCGACGACGGGUAGCCGGCCUGAGAGGGCGACCGGCCACACUGGGACUGAGACACGGCCCAG